GACGAACGCUGGCGGCGUGCUUAAUACAUGCAAGUCGAACGGACCGAUUCCGGUUGCUUACUACUGGGAAAGGUUAGUGGCGGAUGGGUGAGUAACGCGUGGGCCAUCUGCUCCUAAGUACGGGAUAACAGAGCGUAAGUUCUGCUAAGACCGGAUACUCUUAACUAGCCGCAUGGAUGGUAAAGGAAAGGGAACGCAUAGGGAUGAGGCCGCGUUCCAUUAGCGAGUUGGUGCGGUACCGGCCGACCAAGGCGAGGAUGCGUAGCCGGCUGGAGAGAGGGGGCGGCCAGACUGGGACUGAGACACGACCCAGACGCGUACGAGAGGCAGCAGAAGGGGAUUUACGGGAAUGGGCGAGAGGCUGACCGAGCGACGCCGCGAGAGGGACGAAGGGCUUCGGAUCGUAGACCGUUGGCAACGAAGACGAUAAUGACGGUACUCGAGGAGGAAGCCCCGGCUAACUACGUG
rnacentral:rRNA from 1 species